AUCCAUAUGUUGAAGGAGUGAAAGGAAAUCUAUUAUAGUAUCUCAUCAGACAAUGUACACUAACUUAAAGGUCCUAAGUUUGUGUCCCACAAAGAAAGGUUCCUUUCAAAAUGGUCUAUGGAAGUGAGUAUAUAUAUUAUCGAGGCAAAAUAUACUAUAAAUAAGUCUAGUAGCUAGAUUACUGUAAUAUUGCAAAAAUAGUAUGACACUGAUGAAAAGUUGGUAAAAAUACAUGGGCUAUUUUUCUCAUUUUAAUUUGUAAGUUUUGGUACGUUGUGUACAUAUUUUUGACAAAUUGUUUCUCAAAGUAUGAAAGGAGAAUUGUCAAAAAAAAAUCUAAGAGCAAUUUUUUCUUAUGGAAAAAUAAGACAGUUGAAAUACAAAAUUUACAAGACAAAUUUUAUAUAUAAUGAGAAAAAGUGUUAAAAAUACUAUCCUAAAAUAUUACAUGGGCUACCAUACUAGUUUUUUUGUAGCAACAAAAUCUUGGUGGCCAGUGUUACCAUUAUUUUAGAUCCAACUGCUUGCCACACUAAUAUUUAGUAAACCAUCAUGAAUUCUAAAUAUUAAAAUUUGCAUAUUCUAUAAAAGGAGCCUACAAAUAAUGGUUUUUCAUUUUCACUAAAAUUAUUUACCAUAGAUGAAGAUCCAACGAUUGAGAACAAUCGCCUCUCCCAUAAACCCUAACCCAUCCUUUACCUCACCUCAUCCCACACCGCCGCCCUCACUUCCUAGUCCCCCACUGCUCGCUGCCACAACCGUAGUUUAUCUUAUCCCGAGUCAGCCUCCUCUCCCCCGCUGCUGCGACGCUACCUCCAUCAACCCGACAACAACCUGCGCUCGAUCUACCCUAGCCGACCAUCCCUCCAGUACUCGCCGCUGCGUCUGCAAUGCAUCUUCACCCCUGUUGGCCUAUUCUCCUCCACCACUCCCCACCACACCCUUUUCCUCCAUAGUUGGCAAUUCCAGCUAGAUUCGCGCGCACCGCCAUUUCCGUGCAUGCAACCUGCCCACCUCCUGUUUCCUCUUCGACUCCAGUGCGCGAUAGCCCUCGCCUUACCCUCACCCUCCUCGAUCCUCCAUAUCCUGCCUCUGUCACCGCUAGAUCUAAAAAGUUUCUCCACUGCCAGAUCGAAUACUGAUAACCUCUCCAAAUCUUAAAGCUAUCCUUCACACAACCAGGCCACCAGCACCAUGAAUUCCAACCCCGCAAAACCAUUAUCCCUCAUGGCCACUGGUCGCUCACCUGCACCGAAGAGGCAGCGUCGCCACCGAGGGCAUGGCUGGAGUAAGUCCAAGAAGAAAUCCCCAUCUCCACGGCAGCAGGCUUGCACCCAAUCCUCCAUGGUGAUUGCCUCCUCUUUUCUCAACUUAUAUCUUUUGUGCUUUUACAAUUAUUUUGGUGCUAUGAAUCUUGCUAGUCUAUUUUUUCAUAUAUUUAGAUUUACUAUCCCAAAAUAUUUCAGGAAGUUGUGAGAAGAACUAAGACUUGUAGACACC
rnacentral:lncRNA from 1 species